GGCGGGCGGCGGGCCGAGGGUGGCUUCCUGCCCAGACGUCAGCACCGCCCCCCCAGACCUGAGAAGGCCUGUCCACCGAGGAGGAGCGGGGCUUUUCUCUACCGCCACCUCCGCGUCCUCCCUCUCGGCCCUCGGAGUUCUCCCGGGCUACCUCCCAUUUCCCCUGGGGUUGGGAGCCCGCGGGGCGCGCUCGGCUCGCCGGCUCCUGCUCCUCCUCCAGCCUGCGCCUCGAGCGGCCUCCGAGACCUCGCCAGGCGUGGCGGGCUGGGCCAGCACCCCGCGUGCGAGACUGUUUCCCGUGGCCCCAAUGCCCCGGCGAGAAGAGUGCCGUGAGUGCCCGUGAUUGGAGCUGUGGAAGUGUCCCCUGGUGGCGAGUGCGGCCGAGACACGGGUUACUGUUAAGUUUUCUGCGCGCAGGUUGCAAGGGCCGUGUGAGUCAGGUAUAAUUUGGCCUCCUGAGAUUCUGUCUUAGCAAGAAGGAAGUGGAAAAUACUCUUGGAAAGAAAACUAAGACAAUAAGGAAGCCAGAACUUACUUUUACAUGGUUGUCAGCUCAUUUACCAAUAUGGACACUUUUCCCACCAUUUUUCCUCCCGGUGGAGACAGUGGGCUGACAAGUUCUCAAUCUGAGUUCCAAAAAAUGUUAAUUGAUGAACGAUUACGAUGUGAGCAUCAUAAAACUAAUUAUCAGACUCUGAAAACUGAACACACAAGGUUGCAAGAUGAAUACAUAAAGUUACAGAAUGAACUCAAGCGCCUGUUAAAUGAAAAGCAAACUCACCAGGAAAAAUUUCAGCAGCUGCUUGAAGAGCUAAGAGGUGAAUUAGUAGAGAAAACUAAAGUCUUGGAAGAAAUGAAGCUGCAGGUAUUAACUCCACAGAAGUUGGAAUUGUUACGAGCCCAAAUACAACAAGAACUAGAAACCCCAAUGAGAGAACGUUUUAGGAACCUGGAUGAAGAAGUGGAAAAGUAUAGAGCUGGGUAUAAUAAGCUUCGCUAUGAACAUACAUUUCUCAAAUCAGAAUUUGAACACCAGAAAGAAAAAUUUGCACGUAUUUUAGAAGAAGAAAAAAUAAAAUAUGAAUCAGAGAUUGCAAGACUGGAGAAGGAUAAAGAACUACAUAACCAACUGUUUAGUGUUGAUCCCACAAGAGACAGCAAACAAAUGGAGCAACUUGUUCGAGAAAAAGUCCAUUUGUGUCAGAAAUUAAAAGGUUUACAGGCUGAGGUAGAAGAAUUAAGAGCUGAAAAAGAGAAUUCUGGUGCUCAGGUAGAAAGUGCCCAAAGAAUUCAGGUGCGGCAGUUGGCUGAGAUGCAGACUACAGUCAGAUCCCUGGAGGCUGAAAAACAGUCAGCUAAACUACAGGCUGAACGCUUAGAAAAAGAGCUACAAUCAAGCAAUGAACAAAACACUACUUUAAUUAGUAAAUUGCAUAAAGCUGAACGGGAAAUAAAUACUUUGACCAGUAAAGUAAAAGAACUUAAACAUUCAAGCAAGCUAGAAAUAACAGACAUCAGACUGGAGGCAGCAAGAGCUAAGAGUGAGCUAGAAAGAGAAAGGAAUAAAAUUCAAAGUGAACUGGAUGGAUUGCAGUCAGACAAUGAAAUUCUCAAAUCGGCUGUUGAACACCACAAAGUACUCUUAGUUGAAAAGGAUCGUGAAUUAAUACGUAAAGUACAAGCUGCCAGAGAUGAAGGUUAUCAAAAACUUGUGGUAUUACAAGAUGAAAAGCUAGAACUUGAGAGCAGAUUAGCGGAUUUAGAGAAAAUGAAAGUGGAACAUGAUGUUUGGAGGCAGUCUGAAAGGGAUCAAUGUGAAGAGAAACUGCGUGCUUCACAGAUGGCUGAAGAGUCGGCUAGAAGGGAACUUCAGAGUAUUAGGACAUUGGAAGAGAGGCAAAUACAGUGGAUGGAAGAGAAGCAUAAGCUUCAUGAACGUAUCACUGACAGAGAAGAGAGGUAUAAUCAAGCUAAAGAGAAACUGCAGCGAGCUGCAAUUGCCCAGAAAAAGAGAAAAUCUCUUCAUGAAAACAAAUUGAAGAGACUGCAAGAGAAGGUAGAAGUCUUGGAGGCAAAGAGAGAAGAAUUGGAAACAGAAAAUCAGGUGUUAAAUAGACAAAAUGUUCCAUUUGAAGAAUAUACAAGGCUUCAAAAAAGACUAAAGGAUAUACAGAGAAGACAUAAUGAGUUUCGAAGUUUAAUUUUGGUUCCUAACCUACCUCCAACAGCAUCCAUCAAUCCUGUUAGCUUUCAGUCAUCAACUGUGAUUCCAGGCAUGGAAUUGUCCUUUUCUCCUCAUAUGCAGGAGGAGCAACAUCAAAGGGAACUCUCUCUACUUCGCAAAAGACUAGAAGAACUAGAAACAACACAAAGAAAACAACUAGAGGAACUUGGAUCUCCUGGGGAAUAAUGUUCUUGGAGAGAAGGCAGAUCAAAAGGGAUGAAAUCACUGACUCAAUAAAGCUUGAAGUUUUAACGUACGUGGCAUUUACAUAUUUUAUUACUGUUUGCCAAAACAUUUGAAUGUGCCUCAAGAAAAGGUAUCAGCUACAUGCUGAAUUGCAUGAGUGUCAGAAUUUGAGGGUUAUACUAAUGACAAGUGAAGCAUUAAAAUAGCUUCAGAGAUAUUUAGAAUAUUAUUGACAACCCUUGGGGAAUGUAAAAUAAAUGAAAAAAUAAAAAGAACUAAUUAGGGGAUCAAGUUUUUAAAAUGGUUUUAUUUUGUUGAUUUUUUUUUUUUUUUUUUUGCAUUUUGCCUGAAAUAUACCCAUGUUAAAUUUCCUCUUCCUCCUCCUUGAGAUGCUUGGCGAUAACAGGAGGCAUUCUGCUGGAAUAACUUCACGUCAAGAAGGCAAAGCUCAAGUCUGUCAGACCAUUCCAAGCACAGCAAGCAUUCCUGAGCAGCCAACAUGCAGGCAAGUAUUUCUUCUUAAAUGCAGCAAGCAGGGGCAUCCUGGUCAAAGGAAGUAUUUCCCGCCCCGCCCCGCCCCUCCCCAGUGCUUCCCUUCUAACCCCUGACCCCUGAAAGAGGGAUGCUUAAGAGGGAUGCUUAUCAUGUUUAAGGAACUCAUUGCCUCUACCCUACCUUAGCGCUUCACUUGAUCUUCAAGUAGCAAAUGGAAUUGGUGAGCUAUUCUCACCAUUGACAUGGAUAGCCUGUCCCAGCAUGACUGAGUGGGGGGAAUCAGGGAAGGGGGAAUUAACAUAUAUUUGGAAACAGAGCAUCUGAUGACUGUGUCUGUGUGAAUUCCCAAAGAAAAAAACCCAGAUUAAGGAGAAUUAAUCAUAAAGGAGCAUGGUUUAUUGAAAUAGUUGCUUAAGUUAGAAAUAUGUCAUACUUUAACUAUUGAAUACAGAAUCUAGGCGAUUUAACAAGCUUAGCUUUCAUUUUAGCAGAUAACAAUCAAGCAUAAGCUGGCCCCUUUUAGCAGGACCACUACUUACUCAUCAAAGUUAACUGUGUCAAUGUGGCUGUAGACCCCAUGAACUCACACGUAAAUGGCUGGUCCGAAGGUGGGCAGCAUGAUAGAACUAUGAGGGGUGGCCACGUGCAGGGUCUGGCUUAGUGCCAGGAUCCCCUAUCUCAGACAGGCUUCCCUUUCUGGCCGCUUGGGAUACCAGAGCUGUUCUGAGACCUACAGAAUCCUUUAUAACCAAAUUCUGAUGACUGAUUCAGAUUAAUUUCUAAAAAUGUUAUUUAAAAUCUUACCUCAUCAAAAUAUUUUACGAUGUAUUUGUAGAUUUCUGUCAAGGCCACUUCUUCAUUAAAUUCAUUUUCAUGUUUCUUAAAAGAAAGAAAAGCCUUACUGAGAGAUUCUGAAAAGGUGGUGGUUGUUUUUUAAAGUAUCCAAAUAUUAUCUACUUUCUAACAAUACCUUAGAUUCCUGAGUUAAGAAUUCUUCCAUCUCUGAAGAUGACAAUGGAGGCAAGUCCUUGAUUGCUUUGUAGUAAGAUUUUACUUCCUCUUUGUAGGUUGGGAUAUCCUUGGCAUAGAGAAGUUUAUUAGUUGGUGCUUCCUGAAAAACAGCAACCACCACCAAGAGCUUUUUAAAAAACAUGGAGAAUAUAUAACAGUACCAGUGUAGCUGACCAUCACUAUUAUUACCCUCCUUGCAACAAGGCUUCUUCAUGCAGUAGGCCUUCAUAAAUGUUAACUGAAUGACUGACUGCUAUCCAGAGAGUUCUGGUCCAGGUGAUACCAGAUAAUGGUUACCAGUGAGGACGUCUCAUCAGCUCACCUACCUCUUGUCACCCACCUCGGUGCUGUCCCCUGGCCUAAGCCACCAUCAUCUCCCAGCUCCCAACAGUUAAUUGUCCGCAACCACCAGCAAUCCUGACAGAAUCCGAUGCUGUCCCUCUGGCUCUCCAUCCCUCUCUGGAUAAAACCCCUGCAUGAUCUACUCUUCACCUUACUUGUUCCAGCUCCACCAGCCUCUCCGCUAUUCUGCGUGCAUACCAGGCCAGAUUGUGCCUCAGAACUCUGCUUUUGUCCAUCUUCUUGAAACUGUCUUGGUUUAUACGCUUUCAAGACCUGACCACCCUGUCCUUGUCACUUUCUAUCCUUUUUCCCCCCUCCCUGCACUGCACUAAUCACCUUCUAAUAUACUACCAUUUACCAAUUAAAAUCCAGGCUCUGUGAGAACAUGGAUUUCUGUUUAGUUUAUUACUGCAUCUCCAGCACCUAACGGUACUUGGCACACAGCACUCAAAUAAAUAAUCUAAAUAUGAAUGUGGGAGUCAGUCCUUCCAUUUGCUUUUUUCUCAGCUCUGGCUUAGCUAAUUACCUCCAUCAUAUAGGCUCUGGGCCUCUCAGUAGCUCUGGAACUUUUGCUUUUAAUACUUAUUUAAAACAGUCUGGCUAACCUUAAUGCUGAGAAGGGCUUGUGCCUACACUGGGAAGUUUUGUUACAUUGUAAUUCUGAGUCUUACUCAGCUUAUGCACAAAGUAUUGCGAUUAGAGGUAAUGAGCUAUGUUUCUUUACUAAGGAGAAAUUUAGAAUAAAUUUGGAUGCCUUGCCUCAGCUUAAGGUAAAGU